rnacentral:rRNA from 1 species
CCUACGGGAGGCAGCAGUGAGGAAUAUUGGUCAAUGGACGAGAGUCUGAACCAGCCAAGUAGCGUGAAGGAUGACUGCCCUAUGGGUUGUAAACUUCUUUUAUAUGGGAAUAAAACGUUCAACGUGUGGGAUUUUGUAUGUACCAUAUGAAUAAGGAUCGGCUAACUCCGUGCCAGCAGCCGCGGUAAUACGGAGGAUCCGAGCGUUAGCCGGAUUUAUUGGGUUUAAAGGGAGCGUAGGUGGAAUGUUAAGUCAGUUGUGAAAGUUUGCGGCUCAACCGUAGAAUUGCAGUUGAAACUGGCAGUCUUGAGUGCAGUAGAGGUGGGCGGAAUUCGUGGUGUAGCGGUGAAAUGCUUAGAUAUCACGAAGAACACCGAUUGCGAAGGCAGUUCACUGGACUGCAACUGACACUGAUGCUCGAAAGUGUGGGUAUCAAACAGGAUUAGAUACCCCAGUAGUC